AUACCUUUCACGAUUUGUUGACUAAGAUAAAGUGUAAUAUCUAUUCUUGUCAGUUUAUUAUCUGAUAUAUAGACUAUAUGUUCACUUUGAUAUUAGAUUUAUUUUUAUGGGUAUGAAAUAUAAGUGUGUGACGUAGUAGCGUAC
rnacentral:snRNA from 1 species